rnacentral:snRNA from 1 species
CAUCUUGCGCAGUGGCAAUAUCGUAACCAAUGAAGGUCUCCUGAGGUGCGAUUAUUGCUAGUUGAAAACCUUUUUUUGUAAUUUAAUGUGUGUGUUUAAAAAAAAAACUCAGUUUUCAGUCAGUCUGUAACUCAACCAUCCCGCAUAGCCACACCCUGAAGAAGAC